rnacentral:lncRNA from 1 species
GUAAGUACUGAGAACUGCAUUCCCAGAGUUUUAACAACUUACAGAAAAGUGAAUUGAAUUUCUGAAGCCUGGGAAAUGAUAAGAGAGAGGUGAAAGAGAGAUAGUGUGCUAAUGACCCUAGAGAGUUUGAAAAACGUUAUGGUCAGGUCUUUUGAGAGAAUCUCCUAAAAGGAGAUAAUGGGCAUGGCUGAAUCUGUAAAGAAAGUAUCUUGCUAUCAAGUGCCUGAGAGCAUGGCAAUCAAGAACCAGCGGCAGUCAGCCAGAACCUGCCCCUGAGCAGAGUCUUGCUCUGUCCCCCAGGCUGGAGUGCUAUGACACAAUCUCGGCUCACAGAAACCUCUGCCUCCCAGACUCUGGUGGUCCUCUCGCCUCAGCCUCCUGCCUCAGUCUCCGGCCUCAGCUCCCCGAGUAGCUAUAGAUAAUUUAAUGGAGAACUGGCAUCACUACUUGAUCGAGUCUUCCAGCUCCUGAACACAGGAUUCACCCCAGCCUUCCCUAGAGAGAAGGCUUCUUCUCUCCCGUAGUCCCCAGGCCAGGUGGAACAACCAGUGCUCUGGUUGAAGACCUCUACAGGUAGACAGGUGGCAAGAUACUGCUU